GAUGAACGCUGGCGGCGUGCCUAAUACAUGCAAGUCGAGCGGUAAGGUCCCUUCGGGGGUACACGAGCGGCGGACGGCUGAGUAACACGUAGGAACGUACCCCAAAGUGAGGGAUAAGCACCAGAAAUGGUGUCUAAUACCACAUGUGGUCUUCGGACUAAAGCCUUCGGGCGCUUUGGGAGCGGCCUGCGUAUGAUUAGCUUGUUGGUGAGGUAAUGGCUCACCAAGGCGACGAUCAUUAGCUGGUCUGAGAGGAUGACCAGCCAGACUGGAACUG
rnacentral:rRNA from 1 species